ACCUGGUUGAUCCUGCCAGUGGUCAUAUGCUUGUCUCUAGGAUUAAGCCAUGCACGUAUAAGUGUAAGCGAUUUACAGUGAAACUGCGAAUGGCUCAUUAAAUCAGUUUAAUUAGUCUCUGUUGAUGGGAAGCCGCUACAUGGAUAACCGUAGAAAAUGUAGAGCUAAUACGUGCCGAGAGAGUCGUGGCCUAGCAUUUUUGCUGGGAGCGUGCGGGUAUUUAUUAGAAUUCCAAGACGAUGGCGCACUUGUGUGUCGUUGUUUGAGUUGAGUCAUGGUAACUGUACGAAUGGAUUGCGGGUUGUGCUUGCAAGCGUGCGAUGGUAUCGAUUGGAAUUUCUGCCCUAUCACCUUUCGAUGGUAGGAUAGAGGCUUACCGUGGUGGAUUACGGGUGACGGGGGAUUGGGGUUUUAUUCCGGAGAGGGCGCCUGAGAGAUGGCGACCACUUCCAAGGAAGGCAGCAGGCGCGCAAAUUACCCAAUGGCGACAUGCCGAGGUAGUGAAGAACAAUAACGAUGGGCGGGUCUUUGAACUUGCCCCAAUUGGAAUGAGUUUAAAUUACAACCCUAUUCGAGGAGCAACUGGAGGGCAAGUCUGGUGCCAGCAGCCGCGGUAAUUCCAGCUCCAGUAGUGUAUAUCAAAGUUGUUGCGGUUAAAAAGCUCGUAGUUGGAUUUCCCGGGGCUUAAGUUGCGGCUGGGAUCAGUGGUCAUUUGACACUGGGGCGGGCGUGUAGACUGUAUUCGCGCGUGGACGGUCUGCGGUUAGUUCUCUGUGCUCGGGCGCAUGUACUUUGAACAAAUUAGAGUGUCUCAAGACAGGCGAUUUCUUAUUGCCUGUGAAUAGAUUAGCAUGGAAUAACGGGUAUAAACUCUCUGUCUCGAGCAGGCAUGAUGUUGUUUGAUGACGGAGGGGAAUGAUGGAUAGGGACAGGUGUGGGCAUUGAGAUUGUUACGUCAGAGGUGAAAUUCUUAGAUCGUAGGAAGAUUAGCAGACGCGAAAGCAUUUGUCAAGGAUGUUUUCAUUGAUCAAGAACGAAAGUUGGGGGAUCGAAGACGAUUAGAUACCGUCGUAGUCUCAACCAUAAACGAUGCCGCUAGGGAUUGGAGGGGGCAGUAGACUUUCUCACGACUUCCCCAGCACCUUAUGAGAAAUCUGAGUGUUUGGGUUCCGGGGGGAGUAUGGUCGCAAGGCUGAAACUUAAA
rnacentral:rRNA from 1 species